GACGAACGCUGGCGGCGUGCUUAACACAUGCAAGUCGAACGGAAAGGCCCUGCUUUUGUGGGGUGCUCGAGUGGCGAACGGGUGAGUAACACGUGAGUAACCUGCCCUUGACUUUGGGAUAACUUCAGGAAACUGGGGCUAAUACCGGAUAGGAGCUCCUGCUGCAUGGUGGGGGUUGGAAAGUUUCGGCGGUUGGGGAUGGACUCGCGGCUUAUCAGCUUGUUGGUGGGGUAGUGGCUUACCAAGGCUUUGACGGGUAGCCGGCCUGAGAGGGUGACCGGCAACAUUGGGACAGAGAUACGGCGAAGACUCAGACGGGGGGAAGAAGUGGGGAAGAGUGAACAAGGGGGGGAAGCCUGAUGCAGCAACGCCGCGUGAGGGAGGACGGCGUUCGGGUUGUAAACAGAUUGCGACGGUGACGAAGCGUGAGGGAGGGUAAUGGGUAAAGAAGCACCGGCUAACUACG
rnacentral:rRNA from 1 species